rnacentral:misc_RNA from 1 species
CUGGAAGCGCCGCAAGGUGCACCCAGAAACCCUUUGUGAACUUAUACCUACAUCGUUGCCUCGGCGCUGGCUGCCCCUCCCGCCCUGGGAGGGGGCCCGCCUCUGGUCGUAAAAACCCAGGGGAGGACAGCAGGCCCGCCGGCGGCCCAAUUAACUCUUGUAUUUACUGAGUAAAAUCUGAGUAAGCUUCUAAAUGAAUCAA